GACGAACGCUGGCGGCGUGCUUAACACAUGCAAGUCGAGCGGUAAGGCCCUUUCGGGGUACACGAGCGGCGAACGGGUGAGUAACACGUGGGUGACCUGCCCUCAGCUCUGGGAUAAGCCUGGGAAACCGGGUCUAAUACUGGAUAUGACUCCAUGACGCAUGUUGUGGGGUGGAAAGCCUUGUGCGGCUGAGGAUGGGCCCGCGGCCUAUCAGCUUGUUGGUGGGGUGAUGGCCUACCAAGGCGACGACGGGUAGCCGGCCUGAGAGGGCGACGGCCACACUGGGACUGAGACACGGCCCAGACUCCUACGGGAGGCAGCAGUGGGGAAUCUUGCGCAAUGGGCGAAAGCCUGACGCAGCGACGCCGCGUGAGGGAUGAC
rnacentral:rRNA from 1 species